GGGCGCGUGGCCUAGCCCGGAUAUGGCGGCAGCCUCCUAAGCUGUAAGUCGGGGGUUCGAAUCCCUUCGCGCCCG
rnacentral:tRNA from 7 species